rnacentral:tRNA from 1 species
GGGGUUGAAGCUCAGUGGUAGAGUCCUUGCCUAGCAUGCAUGAGACCCUGGGUUCAAUCCUCAGCAUUGCAA